rnacentral:rRNA from 1 species
UAGGGAAUCUUCCGCAAUGGGCGAAAGCCUGACGGAGCAACGCCGCGUGAGUGAUGAAGGUCUUCGGAUCGUAAAACUCUGUUAUUAUGGAAGAACAAAUGUGUAAGUAACUAUGCACGUCUUGACGGUACCUAAUCAGAAGGCCACGGCUAACUACGUGCCAGCAGCCGCGGUAAUACGUAGGUGGCAAGCGUUAUCCGGAAUUAUUGGGCGUAAAGCGCGCGUAGGCGGUUUUUUAAGUCUGAUGUGAAAGCCCACGGCUCAACCGUGGAGGGUCAUUGGAAACUGGAAAACUAGAGUGCAGAAGAGGAAAGUGGAAUUCCAUGUGUAGCGGUGAAAUGCGCAGAGAUAUGGAGGAACACCAGUGGAGAAGGCGACUUUCUGGUAUGUAACUGACGCUGAUGUGCGAAAGCGUGGGGAUCAAACAGG